UCAUUUCCCACUUCACAAAGUUCUAAGAAAGAGAGAGAAGCUCCUAAGUUCUAAGAGAGAGAGAGAGAACCAUUCGGCCAUGGCUAUGGCAGAUUCAUGAAGCCACGGCCAGCCCUCCUCUUCACUACUAAUUGAUAAUUUUCAAGUUGAAUUGAAGAAAGGAAUGGAAACUACAAUAGCCAUGGCAGCUCACGGCCAUGGCAACUCUUGACCAGCCCAAGUUUUUGAUAGCAAGGAAUUAAAUUUGAGGUACAGAUACUCGACUUGGUGACCCUCCAACUUAGGACUUUUGCUUAGCAGUUUUGGAGAGCUCCAUUUUUCCGGAGCCCGGAUUAGCUUGGUAUAACUUUUGUGAUAUGGACUUAUAUAUAUGUAUCCAGGGGUACAGCAGGGCCCUGUCCCGUCAUAUUUCACUCUUGUACUCUUAGAGGUCUGUAGACACAUGUGUGGGUUGUAUAUAAGUUUUGUUCGGCUGUGUCGAUAUGAUAUGCUAUGGAUAUCCCCGUAUGUAGUGGCAACCUUGUCGGCUUGCGUACUGUUUUGGUAUGUAAUGGCAGCCUUGUCGGCUUGCGUAUCAUAUGAUGUUUUGGUUAACUGUGACUCCUCAGGAGACAGGUUCAUGACAUGUAUUGCUUAUUAAUCUCCCUGCAGUUUCUAGUUUCA